UACGUAGGGACCAAGCGUUGUUCGGAUUUACUGGGCGUAAAGGGCGCGUAGGCGGCAUGACAAGUCACUUGUGAAAUCUCUGGGCUUAACCCAGAACGGCCAAGUGAUACUGUCGCGCUAGAGUGCGGAAGGGGCAAUCGGAAUUCUCGGUGUAGCGGUGAAAUGCGUAGAUAUCAUGAGGAACACCAGAGGCGAAGGCGGCUACCUGGACAGUUACUGACGCUCAGGCACGAAAGCGUGGGGAGCAAAAGGG
rnacentral:rRNA from 1 species